UACAGAGGUGGCAAGCGUUGUUCGGAAUUACUGGGCGUAAAGGGUGCGUAGGCGGCCGCGCAAGUCUGGCGUGAGAGCCCCGGGCUCAGCCCGGGAAGGGCGCUCGAAACGGCGCGGCUCGAGUGCCGGAGGGGAGAGUGGAAUUCCUGGUGUAGCGGUGAAAUGCGUAGAUAUCAGGAGGAAUACCGGUGGCGAAAGCGACUCUCUGGACGGCAACUGACGCUGAGGCACGAAAGCGUGGGGAGCAAACAGG
rnacentral:rRNA from 1 species